CAAAUAUGGGCAUGGGGGCGAAAGAGUAAUCGAACCUUUUAGUAGCUGGUUUCCGCCGAAGUUUCCCUCAGAAUAGCAGUGUUGAGCUCAGUUUUAUGAGGUAAAGCGAAUGAUUAGGGACUCGGGGGCGGUAUAUUGCCUUCAUCCAUUUUCAAACUUUAAAUAUGUAAGAAGCCCUUGUUAUUUAGUUGAACGUGGGCAUUCGAAUGUAUCAACAUUAGUGGGCCAUUUUUGGUAAGCAGAACUGGCGAUGCGGGAUGAACCGAACGCGAGGUUAAGGUGCCAGAGUAGACGCUCAUCAGACACCACAAAAGGCGUUAGUACAUCUUGACAGCAGGACGGUGGCCAUGGAAGUUGGAAUCCGCUAAGGACUGUGUAACAACUCACCUGCCGAAUGUACUAGCCCUGAAAAUGGAUGGCGCUCAAGCGUCUCA
rnacentral:rRNA from 1 species